rnacentral:rRNA from 1 species
GACGAACGCUGGCGGCGUGCUUAACACAUGCAAGUCGAACGGAAAGGCCCUGCUUUUGUGGGGUGCUCGAGUGGCGAACGGGUGAGUAACACGUGAGUAACCUGCCCUUGACUUUGGGAUAACUUCAGGAAACUGGGGCUAAUACCGGAUAGGAGCUCCUGCUGCAUGGUGGGGGUUGGAAAGUUUCGGCGGUUGGGGAUGGACUCGCGGCUUAUCAGCUUGUUGGUGGGGUAGUGGCUUACCAAGGCUUUGACGGGUAGCCGGCCUGAGAGGGUGACCGGCCACAUUGUGACUGAGAUACGGCCCAGACUCCUACGAGAGGCAGCAGUGGGGAAUAUUGCACAAUGGGCGGAAGCCUGAUGCAGCAACGCCGCGUGCGGGAUGACGGCCUUCGGGUUGUAAACCGCUUUCGCCUGUGACGAAGCGUGAGUGACGGUAAUGGGUAAAGAAGCACCGGCUAACUACGUG